UACGUAGGGUGCAAGCGUUGUCCGGAAUUAUUGGGCGUAAAGAACUCGUAGGCGGUUUGUUGCGUCGGCUGUGAAAUCCCGAGGCUCAACCUCGGGUCUGCAGUCGAUACGAGCAAACUAGAGUGUUGCAGGGGAGACUGGAAUUCCUGGUGUAGCGGUGAAAUGCGCAGAUAUCAGGAGGAACACCGGUGGCGAAGGCGGGUCUCUGGGCAACAACUGACGCUGAGGAGCGAAAGCGUGGGGAGCGAACGGG
rnacentral:rRNA from 1 species